rnacentral:lncRNA from 1 species
AGUCUUUGUCAAAUGUAAAAACAUGACCUUCCUGUGCUAGACAUGAAACAGAAAUCAAAUUUCUGCUAGCAGUAGGUACAUAAUAGCAGUCUCUAAGUAAUAAACUAAAUCCAGACGGUAGUCGCAGAUGGUAGGUGCCCACAGCCACAGCAGCAACUUUUGCCCCGUUGCCAACCCGAAGGGUUACCGCACCUUCCGCAGCCUUCUACUUUUCUUUAGACCCUGCAUGGUAGUGCACAAAUGAGCACUAGAACCAGAAUCUAUAACCCAACUAGAAGUAGAAGAAACCGUUAGAUUAGUUUCAAUAAUGAGCAAGUCUAUACCUUCUGAAGGUAUGUCACCUUUCUUGUUCUUCAGGCUCUCGAGGUAUGAAGGACAGUUUCUCUU